UACGGAGGGGGCUAGCGUUGUUCGGAAUUACUGGGCGUAAAGCGCGCGUAGGCGGACCUGCAAGUCGGGGGUGAAAGCCCGAGGCUCAACCUCGGAACUGCCUUCGAUACUGCGGGUCUCGAGUCCGGGAGAGGUGAGUGGAAUUCCUAGUGUAGAGGUGAAAUUCGUAGAUAUUAGGAAGAACACCAGCGGCGAAGGCGGCAUCCUGGUCCUGUACUGACGCUGAGGCGCGAGAGCGUGGGGAGCGAACUGG
rnacentral:rRNA from 1 species